GCGUGAAGACUCCGGUCAGAUGAAGCCACACCCGGAGUAUCACUGAAAGAUGGAACACGGUGAACAUUUGAGACGUCACUGGGAGACCCCCAUCUUGGAAGUCUAGGUUAUGAUAUUUUUCACACCGCUGCUCAUCACAAACCUCUGAACUCUUCAAGUCUCCUUUUCUUCGGGCCCCUUGCCUGAAGAAACUCAUACUAGACCUGCCAGGUACUUCUAAGGUUAAUUAUGCAUAGGUUUCUCUAAACCAUCGAUGCUAAGCCUCUAGGAACCCUCUCAACUCUCUUUUCUGGUUUGUUCUAGAAGACGCCUAUAGUCUUCCCUCAUCUGCUUCCUCCCGAGGCUCCUGCACAGCUCUGCUUGGGAAACCCUUUUUAAUACAUUCCCCGGCUCCUUAGAGGCGUUCUGAAUCCCCAAACCAUCAUCUGAAACUGUUCCUGAAAAUCCGUUGUCGAGCGCUCCUGAGCUCUUCAUCGGAUUCCUAGUUAAAGAAGCCACAGAGGAGUAAGCUGGGGCUUCCGAGUUGGUGAGUUGAGCUGAAGACCAGCUUGGGAAUUGUCCCUUUAGGUCCCUUUAGACACCACAAAGAGAGAGAGGAGGAGGAUAGUGACGCACCUGAAUAGGUCCGCUAGAGUAAGGAAAUAAACUAGGACUUGACGUGGAUUGAGUAGGAGGGCAACACUCACACACACACACAGAGGGGGGCACACACACACUCACACACGGAUGACAGACAGCAGAACAGA
rnacentral:lncRNA from 1 species